GUUUCUCGCUUCGGCAGCACAUAUACUAAAAUUGGAACGAUACAGAGAAGAUUAGCAUGGCCCCUGCACAAGGAUGACACGCAAAUUCGUGAUAAAAUUGAUAUAUUG